ensembl:lncRNA
UGGGGGUAGAAGCUGUUCAGGGUCCUGUUGGUUCCAGACUUGGUGCAUCGGUACCGCUUGCCGAGCGUAGCAGAGAGAACAGUCUUUGACUUGCAUGGCUGGACUUUUUUAGGGCCUUCCUCUGACACUGCCUGGUAAAGAAGUCCUUGAUGGCAGGGAACUCGUCCCCGGUGACUCCUGGACCGUAUGCACUACCCUCUAUAGCGUCUUGCAGUCGGAUGCCAAGCAGUUGCCAUACCAAGAGGUGGUGCAGCCAGUCAAGAUGCUCUCAAUGGUGCAGUUGUAGAACUUCUACCACCGUAAUGUCGUCCGCAAACGUAAUGAUGGUGUUGGAGUCAUGUGCAGGUGAACAGGGAGUACAGAAGGGGACUAAGCAUGCACAUCCUGAGGGGCCCCUGUGUUGAGGAUCAGUGUGGCGGAUGUGUUGUUGCCUACCCUUACCACCUGGGGCAGCCUGUCAGGAAAUCCAGGAUCCACUUGCAGAGUGAGAUGUUCAGUCCCAGGUACCUGAGCUUAGUGAUGAGCUUGGAGGGAACUAUGGUGUUGAACGCUCAGCUGUAGUCAAUGAACAGCAUUCUCAAAUAGGUGUUCCUCUUGUCCAGGUAGGAAAGGGCAGUGUGGAGUGCAAUAGAGAUUGUGUAAUCAUUGGCUCUGUUCGGGCAGUAUGUGAAUUGGAGUGGGUCCAGGGUGUCUGGGAUGAUGGUGUUGAUGUGAGCCAUGACCAGCCUUUCAUAGUAUUUAAUAGCUACAGGUGCAAGUGGUACCUUGACAUGUGCUCAUUGUGUCCAAGAUGUGGACGCAAUGUUUAUUCCUGCUAAAUUGCGAACUAGCUAUGCUAAACAUUUUCCACAUCGUUAUUUUCUCAUCUGCGUUACAUAAGGCAAUAUCUCUAGAUAAAGAGCUGUAUAAUUGAUAAUAAAAACAUUGACACCAAUUUCUAUUGUAUAUGAAAGGUGACUUUAGGAAGCACUAACCAGUAAAAACUCCCUCCACUUUACACUGUCAAACAAAAUAACAAUAUACAGUAACAUUUCCAGUCUCCAAGCUUCCUUUGUUUAAAUAAAAAACAACAAAAAAUAUUUAUUUAAGACAGGACCAGCAAAGUAAAAAACCUUCUCACAAUUCUAUAUUACAACAGCACUGCUCUGCCCUAAAACACUGGGGAAACAAUGGUUAGUUAGCACAACAGCCAAAGUGACAAGGUCGGUCCUCAGAGUAAGAAAGACAUAAUGUAUAAAAUGUCAGUUCUGAUUCCAAAUUCCACUUCAGUCAACAGAACUAAGGAUCUCUGAUCCAGUCUCAUCAAAAACACAGCAUCUAUAAAGCCUCUGUGUCUGUUCUGACCGUGCAAAGAUUCCGUACCGCUUUAGUGUCGAGAAAGACAUAUGAAUUAGGGACACUAUCCCAUCCGAAGUCCAGUCAGGAAAGGGGGAAGGAGAAAGAGAGGGGGAUGAGUUUCAAUGUUCCAUUUAGAACAAUGUAGUCCAGCAGAACCACAGCCCUCUUUCCUCCCUCCAUCUUUCCAUGGUUCCUUCCUGGAGAGACAGAGCUGGGUUAGUGUCCUCUCUCUGGUCUCCCACAUGAAUAUGAUUCUACACCACGUGUACAGCUAUGUUCUGCUCAGCCACUUCCUCUACUUCCUGUUCUGCUGCUUUGUCUUUCAGUCUUUGAUUGUAGUAUCUGCACUCUGAUGAUGAUAUGACAGGAAGAUGAGCCCGCUCCAACUCAGGGAGACGUCUUCUUCUGCAUCAAAGCAUUCCAACACAGAACAUAGAUCCUUUAAUGUUAGACGUGCUUCCUUUCAACCUUAACCCAAUGUCCACUGGCCAACCCUCAACCACAUAUACACUCAUGUACGCAGGCGCUCUCACACACACACACACACACACACACACACACACACACACACACACACACACACACACACACACACACACACACACACACACAC